GUAUGCCUGACCAUGGUGGAAUUUAGUACGUGCUCUCCCCUCAGUUUCAUCUUACUUUUGUUUUUCAAUUGCAGUGUGUUGCUUCACACCCUGAGACCAGGAUCCCGUUCUUGAAUGCUCACAUCCCACUGUACCUAUACCCGUUCCUGAAUACUACCAGCAAGGCAAGACCUUUUGAGUACUUGAGGCUUACCAGCUUGGGUGUUAUUGGAAACUGCUGGAUGUUCAGUGUGAAGCGACCAAAGAGACCAAGUUGUCUGAAGCGACAGGGGCCUAAGUGGAGGAGUAGAUCAGCUGAAGUCCAUAACCAGUAAGAGAAUGUGAGAUUAGGAUCAGAUGCUAUCUGUGGCGUAAUGUUACAACUGAGCAAGGGGGAUUCUUUCUUCUUU